rnacentral:rRNA from 1 species
CCCUGGCUCAGGACGAACGCGGGCGGCGUGCCUAAUACAUGCAAGUCGAGCGGAAUGAUGAAGAAGCUUGCUUCUUCUGAUUUUAGCGGCGGACGGGUGAGUAACACGUGGGCAACCUACCUUGUAGAUUGGGAUAACUCCGGGAAACCGGGGCUAAUACCGAAUAAUCCAUUUUGCUUCAUGGCAAGAUGUUGAAAGGCGGCUUCGGCUGUCACUACGAGAUGGGCCCGCGGCGUAUUAGCUAGUUGGUAGGGUAAUGGCCUACCAAGGCGACGAUACGUAGCCGACCUGAGAGGGUGAUCGGCCACACUGGGACUGAGACACGGCCCAGACUCCUACGGGAGGCAGCAGUAGGGAAUCUUCCACAAUGGACGAAAGUCUGAUGGAGCAACGCCGCGUGAGUGAAGAAGGUUUUCGGAUCGUAAAACUCUGUUGUAAGGGAAGAACACGUACGAGAGUAACUGCUCGUACCUUGACGGUACCUUAUUAGAAAGCCACGGCUAACU